UAUACAGAAACUAAAUCGACAAACAUCUCCCUGUAACGUCUCAAGCUUCCAUUAAGAGGUGCUUAACUCCGAUCUUUUGCGUCAUUAUCCCACUAGGAAGCAUUCAAUCGACCUCUUCGCAUACUACAAUAACCGGAUGAAGAUUCAACUAUAAAUAUCACAUCUUCCAACUAUGGGCAGCCCAGGUCAAACGAGAUCUAGAAGAAUAGUUUACUCUAACAACCAAUACCGACGAUGGCGAUCUCAUACACUCUCCUUGCCAAUUUGACAAGCAAGUCCUCUUAUUCUGAUUAUAGAAACAGAACUUGGUCUAUGUUAGAUGAAUUGAUCGUUUAGGUUUCCUCUUUCUUUAUCUGUCUUUCGAUGCUCAUUUCCUUAAAGAUUGCCAGGUGGUGAGACAUACGAGUCAGCGUCUUCAUCAAAGGUGGUUCACGCACAAAAAAUUGAACCACUUUCCACUUUUGAGCUAACCAAUUUAUUAUCACUUCUGCUCCUCAGCUCAUUAAAUUUCUAUGUGCGGCCAAAGUGACUGGGAUUCAUCUAGAUGAGAGUUGGUGUUACAUUGGCUGUUCCGGGUGUUCAAAGAAACUCAUCUGAGAGGAAUCUUCCUUCACAUGUGUCGCAUGCAAUGAAACUAAUUCUCUCGCUGAAGUCAGCUAAACUGAUGCAUGUUCUAGCUUCUGAGACAGCACAGAUUGUGGGGAUAGGUGUUAAUGCUCAGGUUGACACUGAACUGCCUCGAUCACUAGCUAAGAUUGUUGGGAAUACCUACACCUUCCAACUCAAAUGAAACGACUUCAAUUUUACUUCAAACCAUCGAACCUUUACAAUUUCGGCAUAUUUACUACAAUAGAGUUUGCACCUAUGCCAGCCUUCGUUGAAGGUAUACAUGUCCCUAAAGCAGCGCUUCCUGAAGCUGUGGCACCAGGAUUAGAUGCCAGAGUUGUUAACGCUGGCAAAGUUGCAGAGCAAGCAUUUACAUCUGAUGGUUCACAUCCAUGACGUUCAGCACCAGCGAAAGAACAAUUUGCAGAGGAUGAGAAUGCCCCGAAGAAAGCACGUUUGGAAUGAGUCCAAUAUAGAACCUAAACAACCACCUCUUCUCCUUAUCAAUCAAUGUUUAAGCAUCUUUCAAGUUCCUUUAAAUCUAUUUCCCUUUUUUUUAAUUUUGAAAAAAACUCAAUGCGGUGGUUGUUGUUUUUUCUUUUAUUAAUGCAAAUCUUUUCAGAAUAAACAUCCUCAUGUCUUGGCUUAAUAAGUAUCGAUUUCAUGCA